rnacentral:rRNA from 1 species
CCUACGGGAGGCUGCAGUGAGGAAUAUUGGUCAAUGGGCGGGAGCCUGAACCAGCCAAGCCGCGUGAGGGAAGACGGUCCUACGGAUUGUAAACCUCUUUUGCCGGGGAGCAACGGGGUCCUCGCGAGGGCCUAAUGAGAGUACCCGGAGAAAAAGCAUCGGCGAACUCCGUGCAAGCAGCCGCGGUAAUACGGGGGAUGCGAGCGUUAUCCGGUUUUAUGGGGUUUAAGGGGGGCGUAGGCGGGCUGUUAAGUCAGCGGGAAAAGGUGGGGGUCAAACCCGGGCCUGCCGUUGAAACUGGCGGCCUAGAGAGGGCGAGAGGUAUGCGGAAUGCGUGGUGUAGCGGUGAAAUGCAUAGAUAUCACGCAGAACUCCGAUUGCGAAGGCAGCAUACCGGCGCCCUACUGACGCUGAGGCACGAAAGCGUGGGUAUCGAACAGGAUUAGAUACCCUUGUAGUC